GCUUACGGCCACACCACCCUCAACGCGCUCGAUCUCGUCCGAUCUCGGAGGCCAAGCAGGGUCGGGCCUGGUUAGUACUUGGAU
rnacentral:rRNA from 1 species